UGGGGAAUUGUUCGCAAUGGGCGCAAGCCUGACGACGCAACGCCGCGUGGAGGAUGAAGAUCUUCGGGUCGUAAACUCCUUUCGAUCGAGACGAAUGGCUUCCGGGUGAACAAUCCGGAGGAAUGACGGUACCGAGAGAAGAAGCCCCGGCUAACUCCGUGCCAGCAGCCGCGGUAAUACGGGGGGGGCAAGCGUUGUUCGGAAUUACUGGGCGUAAAGGGCUCGUAGGCGGCCAACUAAGUCAGACGUGAAAUCCCUCGGCUUAACCGGGGAACUGCGUCUGAUACUGGAUGGCUUGAGUCCGGGAGAGGGAUGCGGAAUUCCAGGUGUAGCGGUGAAAUGCGUAGAUAUCUGGAGGAACACCGGUGGCGAAGGGCGGCAUCCUGGACCGGCACUGACGCCGAUGAGCGAAAGCCAGGGGAGCAAACGGGAUUAGAUACCCGGUAGUCCUGGCCCUAAACGAUGAAUGCUUGGUGUGGCGGGUA
rnacentral:rRNA from 1 species